GCCUGGCAGACCGGUCCGCCUCACGGCGUGCACUGGCUCGGCCGGGUCAUCCUUCUGGGGGAGCAGCAUGCCCUUUAUUGGGUGCGCUGUUGAACCAGGACUAUUACUUUGAAAAAAUUAGAGUGUUUAAAGCAGGCCUACGCUUGAAUACAUUAGCAUGGAAUAAUAGAAUAGGACUUU
rnacentral:rRNA from 1 species